rnacentral:lncRNA from 1 species
GAGGAGCGCAGAAGUGGUGGGAUAAGUCCCAGCAACGCGCGGGUCCGUGCGGGUUGGUCAGCCCUGCUGGGUGACCGCUGAUGCGAAUGUUUUGGGGCAGAUUUGGUAUAACCUGUGUUCACAGAGCUGUUCUGCUUUGGUUCUGUUGCUCAAUGUACUGCUUUUUACUUCAGAGAAAGUACGGAAAGUGAAAUAAUACCAGCGUACGCUGUAAAUCGGUUGUUUUCUGAUGUGUAGCAGUAUUCCAGCACACGUUCUGCAGUUUAAAGAAGGAAUUAGAGGGCCCUCCUUGCUGAACACUGAGGUGCUGCCCUAAGCAAGUGGCCCUCUGCUGCUCAGUUUAUUGAGCUGUUUUUAUGCUUAGGCUCUCCAUCCAUUGCUUCAGGUUUCAUUCCUGGACCGGUUGUGUAUGUGCUGUUUUCCCAUGGCACACAGCGCACACCAACAAGCCCUUCGCUUCCUUUCUGGCAGCAGCGUUACAGGCACCGGCAGCGCCUGCGUGAACUGGCUGUUGACAGAGGCUCCACUGUUCACCACAGGGAUGGAAAUGCAUUCUGCUUUUUACCAGAAGCUGUUGUUGAACGUAUCUGUGAGACGUUUGCUAUUUGAACUGCGCUACUUUUUUCCGUUAGUAUUUGCACAGGGAGAAUAUGAAAAGGAUGGCAGUUGUCACAAAAUGUCGUAGAUGGGCUUUUGAGCAAGGUUCUAUAAAGCUCUACUGGUAAUUUUG